rnacentral:rRNA from 1 species
AUUGAACGCUGGCGGCAGGCCUAACACAUGCAAGUCGAGCGGAGCGGCGGACGGGUGAGUAAUGCCUAGGAAUCUGCCUGGUAGUGGGGGAUAACGUCCGGAAACGGGCGCUAAUACCGCAUACUAUCAGAUGAGCCUAGGUCGGAGUAGCUAGUUGGUGGGGUAAAGGCCUACCAAGGCGACGAUCCGUAACUGGUCUGAGAGGAUGAUCAGUCACGUUGGAAAGGUGAAACGGUGGAGUAUCGUACGGGAGGAAGCAGUGGGGAUGAUUGGACAAUGGGCGAAAGACUGAUCCACCCAUGCGGCGGUUGUGAAGAAGGUCUUCGGAUUUUAGAGCACUUUAAGUUGGGAGGCGUUACCAACAGAAUACGCACCGUCUAACUUCGUGCCAGCAGCCGCGGUAAUUC